rnacentral:rRNA from 1 species
UCUCCGCCUGGGGAGUAUGCACGCAAGUGUGAAACUCAAAGGAAUUGACGGGGGCCGGCACAAGCGGUGGAGUAUGUGGUUUAAUUGGAAGCAACGCGAAGAACCUUACCAGGCCUUGACAUGGAUGCAAAGGGCUCUAGAGAUAGAGAGAUAAAUAUGGAUCACACAGGUGGUGCAUGGUUGUCGUCAGCUCGUGUCGUGAGAUGUUGGGUUAAGUCCCGCGACGAGCGCAACCCUUGUCGCAUGUUACCAGCAUCAAGUUGGGGACUCAUGCGAGACUGCCGGUGACAAACCGGAGGAAGGUGGGGAUGACGUCAAAUCAUCAUGCCCCUUAUGGCCUGGGCUACACACGUACUACAAUGGCGACCACAAAGAGCAGCGACUUGGUGACAAGAAGCGAAUCUCAUAAAGGCCGUCUCAGUUCGGAUUGAAGUCUGCAACUCGACUUCAUGAAGUCGGAAUCGCUAGUAAUCGCAGAUCAGCAUGCUGCGGUGAAUACGUUCUCGGGCCUUGUACACACCGCCCGUCAAACCAUGGGAGUCAGUAAUACCCGAAGCCGGUGGCAUAACCGUAAGGAGUGAGCCGUCGAAGGUAGGACCGAUGACUGGGGU